GCGCGGUUAGCUCAGCGGAAGAGCACCUGCCUUACACGCAGGGGGUCACAGGUUCAAAUCCUGUACCGCGCA
rnacentral:tRNA from 1 species